rnacentral:misc_RNA from 1 species
GAUGAAGAACGUAGCGAAAUGCGAUAAGUAAUGUGAAUUGCAGAAUUCAGUGAAUCAUCGAAACUUUGAACGCACAUUGCGCCCGCCAGUAUUCUGGCGGGCAUGCCUGUCUGAGCGUCAUUUCAACCCUCAUGCCCCUAGGGCGUGGUGUUGGGGAUCGGCCAAAGCCCGCGAGGGACGGCCGGCCCCUAAAUCUAGUGGCGGACCCGUCGUGGCCUCCUCUGCGAAGUAGUGAUAUUCCGCAUCGGAGAGCGAUGAGCCCCUGCCGUUAAACCCCCAACUUUCCAAGGUUGACCUCAGAUCAGGUAGGAAUACCCGCUGAACUUAAGCAUAUCAAUAAGCGGAGGA